AGUGAACGCUGGCGGCAGGCCUAACACAUGCAAGUCGAGCGGCAGCGCGGGGGCAACCCUGGCGGCGAGCGGCGGACGGGUGCGGAAUUCGUCGGAAUCUGCCUUUUUGUGGGGGAUGACGUAGGGACACUUACGCUAAUACCGCAUACGACCUACGGGUGAAAGUGGGGGACAGCAAGGCCCCACGCAAAAAGAUGAGCCGAUGUCGGAUUAGCUAGUUGGCGGGGUGAAGGCCCACCAAGGCGACGAUCCGUAGCUGGUCUGAGAGGAUGAUCAGCCACACUGGAACUGAGACACGGUCCAGACUCCUACGGGAGGCAGCAGUGGGGAAUAUUGGACAAUGGGCGCAAGCCUGAUCCAGCCAUACCGCGUGGGUGAAGAAGGCCUUCGGGUUGUAAAGCCCUUUUGUUGGGAAAGAAAUCCAGCUGGUUAAUACCCGGUUGGGAUGACGGUACCCAAAGAAUAAGCACCGGCUAACUUCGUGCCAGCAGCCGCCGUAA
rnacentral:rRNA from 1 species